CUCCUCUUCUCUUCAAUCUCCAAUAGCCAAAAAGCUAGAAGGUAAAGUAGCACUUAUAACUGGUGGUGCUAGUGGCAUAGGAGCAGCUACCGCUAGACUUUUUAUUCAACAUGGUGCAAAAG